rnacentral:rRNA from 1 species
UCUCGCCCGACCGGGUAAGGGUAGGAUCAGAAUGUAUUUAGCUGGUUUGAGAUGAUCCGAGGUGUCCUUAGGAAUUUUUUUUUGGGAUUCGAGGUGUCCACCUCGUUUGUACACGGUUUUAACUAAAUUUGGUACUCUUCAAGUAUAUAGUUUCGUAGGUUUAAUGUCAUGAGCAGUUUCGGUCGCAGGUAGCGGUCAAGCGGUGGUAAUUUGGGUAAGUGGGGAAAGGAUUCGGGACGGGCGAGGGUGGGCUGGGGAGCUGGUACAGGGGGUCCUUCCUGCGGCCGGGGAGCGGCCGCCGCCGCGGGCGGUGGCGCGGACGGGAUUGCGGAAGGGGUAAGUACGGGUACACAGUCUACGCCGCCCUACUCACGCGUCUGGAGGAGUUCGACUAGAGGCCGCAGAGCGCGGGCGAGCUCCUGCAGCACCGCCUAAAGGAGCGGGCGCAGGGCGGGCUCGCGGCGGAGGCGAAGCCAAGGCGGUAGUUCAAAGAGGAGCUCCUGUUCCACUACAAAGUUGGUCGACUCGCAAAUUAACGUAAACGUUAAGAAGUAGUUCCCAUAAGGAGUGUCGACUGUUUAGGCAAACAAGGUAAGAAUUAUUUACAACGGACACUACUUUAAAGACUCUCUGGUCUUGCACAAAAAGAGGUCGAAAACGAUUGAAGUCGAUUACUCCUGUUGUUAUUCCUCUAGAACUUUGUAAGACGUCUUCUAAUGAACUUCCUCGGAAGAAUACGUAGAGUCCACAACGACGGUUCUCUGGCUGAACUUUCGGUUAUGAGGACGUUACUACAAGUCGAUGUCUGUAUGUGAUCAACGCGUCGACGAUUCCAAUCUUCACGAUAAGGACUGGGUCUACAAAGGGUUUCGACACCACUAAGUAGUCCUUAUAGUGGCUGGUUUGAUUUAUCUCUAUUACACCACUGCUUAAAUGAAGUUGUUUGUGGUGACUCUCCUAACAGAGGAGGUACCUAAUCCGGGAGAGGGGGGUCUGAACUUUAUGAACUUCCCCUCAACGUCACCAACUUGGACCUGUUGUUGGUACUCGAUGAUACCCUAUCAUCGUACACACGACUGUGAUCGGCUCCUCGAAGUUAGGCACUAAACCAGCCUUCUCGGACAUUUCCUGGUGAACGUGGACGGGUUGUUCUCGUUCAACAAAAUCUAAAUCGGUCCCUGACCUUCGAUCAAAUAGUAACGCCUUACUGUGGUCUCUUCGAAGGUCUGGAACAACUUGUAUUAGGUGAGUAACGACAACUACAAGAAAGUUUCGACUAGUUAACAGGACUGUACCUAAGAAUAAAGUUACAAGAACACGUGUACCUUUACUCGGACGUAAGUUACCUUCAACAUUUGUCCGAAUGAUGUCGUCAUCUAGAUGGUGGUCCUAAGUAAGUACUGAUGUAGAGUUUAACAUAGGCCAGUACGGUUUUAUAGUUCCUAUUCAUGUACGUUUUGUCUGAACACUCUGAUCAAACACAAAAAGAUGUCUCAGAGUAAGCCUUGUUCUAUUAUUUACAACUUCUAGAUAAGUAACUCCAUGUUCGGAAGACGUAACGCAAAAGAGCUUAUUCUCUUCGUCGACCAAACAAGUCCGAAGAGUUUAGAGAUCUCACUUCUUCGCUGGUUGUUCCAAUUUCAGAACGUUUCAAUGUAACGCACCUUCGGGAACAAGUACCUCAAAAACACACCGUUGGCCAGUAAAGGACCACGUAUAUACGGACUUGAAAAACACAUCUUCUACAACACUUAACAC